GACGAACGCUGGCGGCGUGCCUAAUACAUGCAAGUAGAACGCUGAAGGAAGGAGCUUGCUCUUUCUGGAUGAGUUGCGAACGGGUGAGUAACGCGUAGGUAACCUGCCUGGUAGCGGGGGAUAACUAUUGGAAACGAUAGCUAAUACCGCAUAAAAUUGAUUAUUGCAUGAUAGUCAAUUAAAAGGUGCAACUGCACCACUACCAGAUGGACCUGCGUUGUAUUAGCUAGUUGGUGGGGUAACGGCUCACCAAGGCGACGAUACAUAGCCGACCUGAGAGGGUGAUCGGCCACACUGGGACUGAGACACGGCCCAGACUCCUACGGGAGGCAGCAGUAGGGAAUCUUCGGCAAUGGACGGAAGUCUGACCGAGCAACGCCGCGUGAGUGAAGAAGGUUUUCGGAUCGUAGAGCUCUGUUGUAAGAGAAGAACGAGUGUGAGAGUGGAAAGUUCACACUGUGACGGUACCUUACCAGAAAGGGACGGCUAACUACGUG
rnacentral:rRNA from 1 species